rnacentral:rRNA from 1 species
AUGAACGCUGGCGGCGUGCCUAAUACAUGCAAGUCGAGCGAACAGACGAGGAGCUUGCUCCUCUGACGUUAGCGGCGGACGGGUGAGUAACACGUGGAUAACCUACCUAUAAGACUGGGAUAACUUCGGGAAACCGGAGCUAAUACCGGAUAAUAUAUUGAACCGCAUGGUUCGAUAGUGAAAGACGGUUUUGCUGUCACUUAUAGAUGGAUCCGCGCCGCAUUAGCUAGUUGGUAAGGUAACGGCUUACCAAGGCAACGAUGCGUAGCCGACCUGAGAGGGUGAUCGCCCACACUGGAACUGAGACACGGUCCAGACUCCUACGGGAGGCAGCAGUAGGGAAUCUUCCGCAAUGGGCGAAAGCUUGACGGAGCAACGCCGCGUGAGUGAUGAAGGUCUUCGGAUCGUAAAACUCUGUUAUUAGGGAAGAACAAAUGUGUAAGUAACUAUGCACGUCUUGACGGUACCUAAUCAGAAAGCCACGGCUAACUACGUG